UGCAGUCGAGCGGAUGACGGGAGCUUGCUCCUUGAUUCAGCGGCGGACGGGUGAGUAAUGCCUAGGAAUCUGCCUGGUAGUGGGGGACAACGUUUCGAAAGGAACGCUAAUACCGCAUACGUCCUACGGGAGAAAGCAGGGGACCUUCGGGCCUUGCGCUAUCAGAUGAGCCUAGGUCGGAUUAGCUAGUUGGUGAGGUAAUGGCUCACCAAGGCGACGAUCCGUAACUGGUCUGAGAGGAUGAUCAGUCACACUGGAACUGAGACACGGUCCAGACUCCUACGGGAGGCAGCAGUGGGGAAUAUUGGACAAUGGGCGAAAGCCUGAUCCAGCCAUGCCGCGUGUGUGAAGAAGGUCUUCGGAUUGUAAAGCACUUUAAGUUGGGAGGAAGGGCAGUAAGUUAAUACCUUGCUGUUUUGACGUUACCGACAGAAUAAGCACCGGCUAACUCUGUGCCAGCAGCCGCGGUAAUACAGAGGGUGCAAGCGUUAAUCGGAAUUACUGGGCGUAAAGCGCGCGUAGGUGGUUUGUUAAGUUGGAUGUGAAAGCCCCGGGCUCAACCUGGGAACUGCAUCCAAAACUGGCAAGCUAGAGUACGGUAGAGGGUGGUGGAAUUUCCUGUGUA
rnacentral:rRNA from 1 species